rnacentral:ribozyme from 1 species
AGUUGCAAAUUCAAGGCCGUAGCAGAAGCACUCAUAGCACGGCCCUUGUCAAAUUCCAGUGAAUCUGUGAAUUCUGGU